rnacentral:rRNA from 1 species
UACAGAGGGUGCAAGCGUUGUUCGGAAUUAUUGGGCGUAAAGCGCGUGUAGGCGGCUUUUGCAAGUCGGGUGUGAAAGCCCUCAGCUCAACUGAGGAAGUGCGCCCGAAACUGCAGAGCUUGAGUACCGGAGAGGAUGGCGGAAUUCCCCAAGUAGAGGUGAAAAUUUCUAGAUAUGGGGGAGGAACACCGGUGGCGAAGGCGGCCAUCUGGACGGAUACUGACGCUAGACGCGAAAACGUGGGGAGCAAA